AUUGAGCUGGGCUGGUGUGAGCCCUCUGUCCCCACCUGUCUGGUUUUGUUCUUGGACAUGCUGAGAAGUAGGAGGGAGGAACAUCAGCCGCCUGGCCCCAUCCCCUGAACCUCCUGCACCAGCUGGUGAAAAGCAGAGGCAAGGUGGUUAUUGCGGGAAAGUGACAGAGGAUGUCCAGGAACUGGUUAGGCGUGCCGGGUGGGGAUGGAGAAGGGUGGCUGCCAUCGGGGCUGUGGUCAGCUCCCAGCAAGACUGACUCACCUCAGCCUUGCUGGUGAGUCACGCACAGCAUCAUACUCUGCACUGGAGUGGCGCACAUUUGGUGCAAGGAGCGUCACUCUAUGCCAGGGACUUGGCAGAGAGUGGAGGACGGGUAAGAAGGCUGAGGUGAGCCUGUCCCUGCUGUUGGCUAUCACCAUCCUGGUUCUGGUAAAAGAUGGGGGCAGGCACACGGUGCCACAGUCAUCCAGCCCUGGAGGUAACCCACGCAUGCUUGGCUGCUGCCUCCCACCCCUGAGACCACCCGUUUCACUCCUUUAGAGCCCCGGGGUGGUGGAAGCACAUGGGCUCUGGAGGCAGCAGAUCUCCGUUCAGGUUCAGACUCCACCACUUGAGAGCUAGGAAACUUUGGGUGAUUCGCUUAAGCUCUCUGACCUGUUUCUCUAGUUGUAAAAUGCAGAUAACACACCUGCCUCACCCACCUCAUGAGGCUGAGUCAGGGAUCGGAUGAGGAGAGGCCGGAGACCAGGAGGAACUUGCUUAGGAGUUAUUGUUUGGGUGGAUGUGGCAAAGGUGGUCAUUGUUCUUCAGGCAGCAGGAGGGUCAGGCCUCAGAGCACCCACCUUCUUGGCCUCCCUUGGGGGAAGGUCUCUCACCAGAUGAGGAAGAAAGCCAGGUGACCACAGGAUUCCGGCCUCUGUGACAACCCCCUGCCUCUGGCCAGGAGGUCCGCCCACCCACCUGUUGCUGAAUGCCUGCCUUAGGACUCAGGAGCACAGUCCCUGCUCACGGUCAGGCUGAGGAGACAGACAGACACAUAGACAGACCAUGAAUGCAUGCCGAGUGCUGUGACAAAAGGAAACCGAAUCGCUCCAGGGAGCUUGGGAAACACAGAGCCUUCCCCACUCCUUCAGAGGCAGUCCUCGACUGCAGAAGGUGUGUGAGGGCGGAACCCGACAGUCCUCUUCCUAAUCACCAACACGCAUGGUCUGGAAUCUCACAGGAGGAGAUGGGCCAUCUGUGAGCAACCUUCAGUAACUCCUAACACAGGGCAUUCUGAAGGCAUUUUCUUGGUACCAGUCACAAAUAAGAGACAUCGUAGAAAAUGUUAUUCUUUUAUUAUUUCAAGGAGGUAAUACAUAGCCCAAUACACCAAAGCAAUAGGGAAUUAGAGGCAGCAAAUGGCCAGAGUUUUUGAGAAGAGCCUCCUGCUGCAUCUCUGAGCCCCUGGCUGCCUGCAGCCCACGGCUGCUUACGUGAAGGCCAGGUCAGCGACGUGGAGCUUGCUCUGACCAUAGCAGUGGACAGAUGACCCAACUCAACACCCCACUGACCGAGAAAGGGUUCCGUGUGGGCAGCAGAGGCCCUGCCAGCUGCACACGGCGGGCAGCGCUCAGCCUGCCAUAGUCUGGUUUACAUGGCUGGUGCCUUCGCAGCAGCCAGCUUCUUUCCCACUUGGUCUUCUUUCUGUGAGCCUGGAGUGGGCAGGGUGUGAAGAGAUCCUGAGUCAGAAAUUAA